GAACCGGUAGUGUAGUGGUGCAGCAUGUCGCGUCUGGAUGUGAAGACGAAUGGUUCGAAUCCCUCCCGGUCCA
rnacentral:tRNA from 1 species